UCACAAUGCCCCUUGUGACUUUGGCCAGGCAUGAGAGUCAGAACACAUAGGUGCUUGGUUCAACUAUAUGUCACUAUCCCAUUUGUGGCCUUGACCUAGGUGAGAGAGUCGCAUGACCUAUGGUCUGGGCCCAGGUAUAUGUCACAAUGUUCUCUGUGGAUUGGGCCCAUGCAGGACAGCCACAUCACCUUAAUUCCUGAGCCCAGGUCCAGGCAAAGUGUAACAUCACCUAGGUGCUGGACCCAGGUACAUGCCACAAUCUACCCUCUGGGUGGGACCCAGGAGGAAGAGCAACACAACUCAGAAGAUGGGUUCAGCACAUCGCAGUUCAGACCAGCCACAUUCCAGGCACCCAGGAGCCACACAUGGCCAAUAGCUGCCACAUUGAAGUACAGCUGUGAUGUCAGUGGGGGUGGAGGGCCUGAACACCCCUUUUCUGCCACAGAACAAAUUUGAGGCCGGGCGUGGUGGCUCACA
rnacentral:lncRNA from 1 species